rnacentral:rRNA from 1 species
UAAUACGGAGGGUGCAAGCGUUAUUCGGAUUUAUUGGGCGUAAAGAGAGCGUAGGCGGUCUGUUAAGUCAGAGGUGAAAGCCCCAGGCUCAACCUGGGAAGUGCCUUUGAAACUGGCAGACUUGAGUACGAGAGAGGGUAGCGGAAUUCCAAGUGUAGAGGUGAAAUUCGUAGAUAUUUGGAGGAACACCGGUGGCGAAGGCGGCUACCUGGACCGAUACUGACGCUGAGGCUCGAAAGCGUGGGGAGCAAACAGGAUUAGAUACCCUGGUAGUCCACGCCCUAAACGAUGCGUACUAGGUGUGGGUGGCGAUAGUCAUCCGUGUCGAAGGGAAACCAUUAAGUACGCCGCCUGGGGAGUACGGCCGCAAGGUUG